UACGGGCGGAGCAAGCGUUGUUCGGAUUUACUGGGCGUAAAGGGCGCGUAGGCGGUCAGCACAAGUCAGUUGUGAAAUCUCCGGGCUUAACUCGGAAAGGUCAACUGAUACUGUGCGACUAGAGUGCAGAAGGGGCAACUGGAAUUCUCGGUGUAGCGGUGAAAUGCGUAGAUAUCGAGAGGAACACCUGCGGCGAAGGCGGGUUGCUGGGCUGACACUGACGCUGAUGCGCGAAAGCCAGGGGAGCGAACGGG
rnacentral:rRNA from 1 species